rnacentral:misc_RNA from 1 species
CCUCCUUAAAAAAUAAUCGCUUAGGAUAGGCGUUCACACGAAUAACUUGCUUUUACCUAAAUCAUUUCUUUACAGAUUUGAGAUUAAGGAGCGUUCUUUAACAUUUUUAUAAGUUCAAUCAAGUCACAUCAUAGUGUCUUAGUUUUUUAAUUUAGAUAUGAAUGAUGUGCAAAUGUCACCAAACCCGUCAUGUUUUAGAACAUAAGUUUGGUGUACAUACUGCAAAGUAAUUUUGGCGAAUGACAAUAGAUACUUGAAGAACAUUAAUCAUUAAGUUGUUUGAUGUAAUAUGGUCAAGUAAUUAAGCGCAUACGGUGGAUGCCUUGGCAGCUAGAGGCGAUGAAGGACGUAGUAACUUGCGAUAAGCUUCGGGGAGCCGGUAAACAGGCUUUGAUCCGAAGAUUUCCGAAUGGGA